rnacentral:rRNA from 1 species
AGUGAACGCUGGCGGCGUGCUUAACACAUGCAAGUCGAACGAGAACGGAUUAUAGCUUGCUAUAAUUGUCAGCUAAGUGGCGCACGGGUGAGUAAUGUAUAGGUAAUAUGCCUUUUACUAAGGAAUAACAAAUGGAAACGUUUGCUAAUACCUUAUACUCCUUAUUAACCUAAGUUAAUAAGGGAAAGAUUUAUUGGUAAGAGAUUAGCCUGUAUUGUAUCAGUUAGUUGGUGGGGUAAUGGCUUACCAUGACUAUGACACAUAACUGGUUUGAGAGGAUGAUCAGUCACACUGGAACUGAGACACGGUCCAGACUCCUACGGGAGGCAGCAGUGGGGAAUAUUGCACAAUGGACGAAAGUCUGAUGCAGCAACGCCGCGUGGAGGAUGACACAUUUCGGUGCGUAAACUCCUUUUAUAUGAGAAGAUAAUGACGGUAUUAUAUGAAUAAGCACCGGCUAACUCCGUGCCAGCCGCCGCAGUAA